UACGUAGGGUGCGAGCGUUGUCCGGAAUUAUUGGGCGUAAAGAGCUCGUAGGCGGUGUGUCGCGUCGGCCGUGAAAACCUGGGGCUCAACUCUGGGCGUGCGGUCGAUACGGGCAUCACUUGAGUUCGGCAGGGGAGACUGGAAUUCCUGGUGUAGCGGUGAAAUGCGCAGAUAUCGGGAGGAACACCAAUGGCGAAGGCAGCUCGCUGGGACGGUACUGACGCUGAGACGCGAAAGCGUGGGGAGCAAACAGG
rnacentral:rRNA from 1 species